AGUGAACGCUGGCGGUAGGCCUAACACAUGCAAGUCGAACGGCAGCACAGUAAGAGCUUGCUCUUACGGGUGGCGAGUGGCGGACGGGUGAUGAAUACAUCCGAAUCUACUUUUUCGUGGGGGAUAACGUAGGGAAACUUACGCUAAUACCGCAUACGACCUACGGGUGAAAGCAUGGGAUCUUAGGACCUUGCGCGAUUGAAUGAGCCGAUGUCGGAUUAGCUAGUUGGGGGGGUAAAGGCCCACCAAGGCGACGAUCCGUAGCUGGUCUGAGAGGAUGAUCAGCCACACUGGAACUGAGACACGGUCCAGACUCCUACGGGAGGCAGCAGUGGGGAAUAUUGGACAAUGGGCGCAAGCCUGAUCCAGCCAUGCCGCGUGGGUGAAGAAGGCCUUCGGGUUGUAAAGCCCUUUUGUUGGGAAAGAAAAGCAGCAGGUUAAUACCCCGCUGUUCUGACGGUACCAAAAGAAUAAGCACCGGCUAACUUCGUG
rnacentral:rRNA from 1 species